GGGGAUGUAGCUCAGAUGAUAGAGUGUUCGCUUAACGUGCAAGAGGUAUGGGGAUUAAUGCCCCACAUCUCUA
rnacentral:tRNA from 15 species